rnacentral:rRNA from 1 species
GACGAACGCUGGCGGCGAGCUUAACACAUGCGAGUCGAACGGAAAGGCCCUGCUUUUGUGGGGUGCUCGAGUGGCGAACGGGUGAGUAACACGUGAGUAACCUGCCCUUGACUUUGGGAUAACUUCAGGAAACUGGGGCUAAUACCGGAUAGGAGCUCCUGCUGCAUGGUGGGGGUUGGAAAGUUUCGGCGGUUGGGGAUGGACUCGCGGCUUAUCAGCUUGUUGGUGGGGUAGUGGCUUACCAAGGCUUUGACGGGUAGCCGGCCUGAGAGGGUGACCGGCCACAUUGGGACUGAGAUACGGCCCAGACUCCUACGGGAGGCAGCAGUGGGGAAUAUUGCACAAUGGGCGGAAGCCUGAUGCAGCAACGCCGCGUGCGGGAUGACGGCCUUCGGGUUGUAAACCGCUUUCGCCUGUGACGAAGCGUGAGUGACGGUAAUGGGUAAAGAAGCACCGGCUAACUACGUG